GAAAAAGCGAAUGGUAUUUUGGCUACACCCAAUCAAAAACUAUAAAGCCUCCUAGAGGGCACUAAUAACACUUGAGGGCUAGCCAAAGAGUGAUGUAUGCUGUUUUAUAUUUGGUAUCAAUGGGACCCACUCCGUGUAAGUAUCUAACUUAGCAGGUUUCAAUGAACUUCAGCCUGUUUCCGGGGACUCUUCUCUUGACAC
rnacentral:misc_RNA from 1 species